rnacentral:rRNA from 1 species
GAAGCGGAUGGGGGCCGGCGAUGCGCCCCGGCCGUAUGCGGAACGGCUUCGGCUGGUCCGCCACUCGGCUCGAGGCGCGGACUGUUGUCGGCUGCGCCGGCGGCCUAAGCCCGGGGGCCCUAGGUGCCUCCGGCGGCCGUCGUCGGCACGGCCGGUCACCGCGCGCCGCAAGGCGUGCCCCUCGGGGCACUGCGCUGCAACGGCCUGCGGGCUCCCCACCCGACCCGUCUUGAAACACGGACCAAGGAGUCUGACAUGCGUGCGAGUCGACGGGUUCUGAAACCUGGGAUGCGCAAGGAAGCUGACGAGCGGGAGGCCCUCACGGGCCGCACCGCUGGCCGACCCUGAUCUUCUGUGAAGGGUUCGAGUUGGAGCACGCCUGUCGGGACCCGAAAGAUGGUGAACUAUGCCUGAGCGGGGU